rnacentral:lncRNA from 1 species
CCCAUGUGCCUAUUCCGAAGGAGGGUGGAAGAUGCUGAGAAGAAAGCCGAGCAAAAUCGAAGUCAGAGUUGAAGACAAAGAAGAACUCGAAGAAGCCCGCCAUCUUUGCGCCGCCCUUGCCAGCACCAGUUCCACAACCGCAUCUUCACUCCUCCACCGCUUCGAUCGUUCGUCUCUUGAUCCCUCCUCCAAAUCCCAUCGCAUUGGCCUCUCCUCUUAAAAACCCAUAAAUCAGAACCCUCAUAAAAUUGUAAG